AACACACACACAAACAAAGAGGCGUUAGGCGGAGACGCUGAAAGUCCGGAUUUAAAGUGCAGAAAAUUAAGCCAUUGAAUCUGCCUGUCCAUGACGUACAAAGACACACUAUGAGCCAGUAUGAUCCGACCAGACCUUACAUCAAUAUUGAGGAGUUGUCGGAGAAGAAAGAGGCUGAUUGAAGCGGGACAGAUGACAUGGAUCCAUCCUUCCACAGCCAGGAGCGCACCGACCUGUGUGCCACACUUCAUAUAAGACUGGAAGCUACACUGAUCUCACAGCUACACACCACAGACGUCUACACACUGGAGAAGAUUCAGACAGAGUCCCACAAAGAAGUCAUGUCCCAGAGGCUGCAGAGAAACAUUUCAAGCCUCAUCUGAGUUUUUGUACAAUAUUUUUGCUGUAUGUAAAUAAAGCUUUCACUCCACAUA